UCACUUUAUCGACUUCUUUAUAGUUAAUUUGUCUUAUUUUCUAUUCAUCAAGUAAACCCCUCAAAGUUCCUUAUCGUUUUGCACUCUGUUUACCUAGCUUUAAGCGCUCCAGCCUGCUCCACCAGCACAAUGCAAAUAGGUUUCCUAUCAUCAUGCCCUAUCGAUCGUACAGUUACCAACCAUACCUUCUGCGGUAUCAAUAUUUAAACAUUCCACACCGGUUUCCUAGUCUAUAUUCAAAUCAUCCGCCGUUCAGUUUGCAUAUCCCCGUUCAGGAGCAACGAACUCAUCUGCCAUUCUUUACAUCUUUGCUUUCUGCAUAUGUCCUCAUCAUAUGCGAUUGCAUCGCACCCGUACGGGAUGAGGUUGGGAUGAAAAUCAUUACUGCUCUACCUUCUUUUACUCUUCUAUUUCUAGCACAAGGGUUUAUUUAAACAGUAUCUUGUAGCUCUUCUUAUCAAUCUCUCAUGCUGUGCCUGGAAUCAGAUAACAGUUAACUAACAAACAGAGCGCACCCUCUGCAAAAAUGGAAACUUCUUUCCCAGUGACACCAAACACACAUUGGGAAGACCUUUUUGACUGAUUGUCACACAUUCUAGAACAAAAAAAGUAUACAAAAAAGAAAAAUUCCUUCGAGAGGCAUCAAAAACUCACCCACCUUUUCUGAAAUCCUUCGCAACCCAACAACGCAAUAUUAAAUAUUCAUGUGCACGCAUCGCUACCCAAUCGGGUACGGGAUCAAUCGAAUAAUUUCGUGCUCGGCGGGAACACACAGCAAAAAGAGGCGGGAAGCAGAAUGAGCUUACUACAAUAUCAAAUCCCAAUGCCUGACUGUUGAUGUUGUGUCGGAUCGGUUUCACCGUGUGCUGGGGAGCGUCACCAUCAUCAUCAUUAUCAUUGCCUGCGAAGCUGUGGAACGAUAUUUAUUUUAUGAAGGUAGAAUUACACCGAUGAAGCAUUAAAUCCCAGCUCCAGACACCGAGCAGGAACUCAGAACGACGGAAUGCUGUAACGCGGGAUGAAAGCGUGAGCUAAUUUUCUCGAUUGAUAUGUGACGUUAUUAUCGUGUGCUAAAGUGGUGUUUGGUGUCUUACCGUUUCAUGUUUGCGUUGACCACUUUAGUCAAUGAAAUGGUAAUGGUUUGGUGGGAAGGUUCGAAAAAUGGGAUAAAAAUGCUUUUCUUUCAUUAUUCAUGAACUGUGGAUAUGGAUAUUAUAAGGCUGGGUUUUGCUGUCUAAAUGGUGCAACUCGAGAGCUACGUGUUCCCACUACAUAAAACUUAUUCUGAAGCAAACUAAAGGUUUUAACCUGUACCUUUGGAAAACAGCGGCAAGCUACGAACCUACAUUCAACACGUUAUACCAAAAACAUAGCAUUAUUCUAUCAUCUCACAUCUGCAACCCAUCACGAAGAAGAAAUUUUUUACAUUUUCAAACAUUUUCAGUUCACAAAACCCACAAAACAUAAACACUUCACGCCUCCCAACGCAGAGCUGGAUUGUUCACAGAGCAACUGGGCUCAGAUUUCAUGGUCCAAAAGGCCCACACAGAAACUUCCACUUCAUAUUUGUUACUCGAUUCCCAAACAAUUACGAACGUACGGUAGAAGAAGAACAAAAAUGCCCACACCACGAGUUGGCUGAUUCCACAGAGAAUGGGUAAAAAACCCAAGCGAUCCCUGAGACAACACAUAUUUUCCAAGUGCAACCAGUUGUCCUUGAGCAAAUGGCUGUUUCGAGCUGUUAAAAUUCCCACUUAUUUUUAUUAUAAACAGAUGGAUGGAUGUAUGUAGUUUAAAAAAACCCUUAAACAGAUUCAUUUAAGUUAUUACUUCGUCUUUACUUUGUUUGUUGUUGCCACAAGGAUAGUUUGUUUGUGAGAUAUGCUAUUUACUUAUAUUUAAGUAAAACCAUGGAACAAAAAAUCAGUCAACUGAACGAAAAACGUUUAAAAUAAUUAUGAUUUUCUUUAAUGAACCAACAUUAUUUUGAUUUGUUAGUGAAUUACUACUGAACGGGUUAAAUCAAAUACCAAAGAAACGGUAUUAUCCGAAAACUACUUCAAAAAGGCAUAACAGAAUGACCCGAUCGUCACCACACACGAUCAAAACCACAGGCUACAUACCACCAACGAAGCGACCUUCAACGACCAAGGAAGCUGACGCAGCAAUUUCGAUCGCUCAACUUGCCCGAGUCCCAGCACCGAUCGCCCUCGCCUUAUGAACCCGGCUUGCUGAAAGUAAGUUCAUUAGAUUCUAUUCUACCGUUGUUGCUGUAAGACGUAUCGUUGAGUUCUUGCGUGGAAACAGCAGUGGAUUAUUGGCAGCGUUAGCCAGACGACAGUAACAAACUAGAUCGCUUGAACAGCUCUGCUCUCUGAAAACCCCUGCAGUGAAAGUGAUAGCAACCACCACAACUGACAGAAACGAGCGUGCCAUUCGGCAGGAAAGUAAAAACAACAACUAGACUGCGGCGCAGUGAAAUCAGCGGACUUAAUUGCAUUAAAAUCAAUUCUUUUUUGUGUCACCUGAAAGUGCGAUCGCAAAUCACAAAAAAAUGAGUAACAUCUCGCGUGGUAGAGGCGGAAACUCUCGUUGCUACUCGUAUUAUGAAACGAGAUUGAUCCACGUUUCCCGCCACUAUCACGAAAUGGAUGAUGAUGAUUGCUGUGAUAUCUACAAUCACAGCAACGCACCAAGAUACAGCGUUAGAGAAAACAGCUCCUAUAACUACACAAGCAACAUUAGGCAGCAGCUGCCGCCCAUUCAAAGAGCAGCCAUCCAGCCAAAAGCUGCCGCUGCUUUGUCACCAAUUGCCGUAUCAUCGAGCCAACAGCUUCAGUGGCCAUUUUCCAAAGAAAGUAUCAUAAAGGUGCCAGUGGGGAUUAAAAAAAGUGCUCCUCGUUCAUUUUUGGUGGGCACAGGAUCAGACAUUUCGUACAUUAAAGCAGAUAAACUAACUAUGCCGUUUCAAGUUAACCACAGGGAAACAUUAACUAUAUACCGUUAUCUAUCCGCGGCGGUAGAGUCGUUGGGCACUGCCACAGUUGAUCUACGUUUCGGCAAAAAGAGAAUCAAGCACCUGUUUCACAUUAUACCAGAUUACGCCGGGCUGCACGUCGAUGGGGUUCUGGGGUGUGAUUUUGUGCACGUACAUGUAGGCAGCAUUGAUUUUGGUAGCCAUAUUAUCACCAUAAGGGCAGGGAACUAAGAUUAUACUUAUUGGAGUAAGAGUUUGCGUGAAAAAAUAUACUCAUGAUUACUUUUCAAAUGAA